rnacentral:rRNA from 1 species
UACGAAGGGGGCUAGCGUUGCUCGGAAUCACUGGGCGUAAAGGGCGCGUAGGCGGUGCGGUAAGUCACCUGUGAAAUCUCCUGGCUCAACUGGGAGCUUGCAGGCGAAACUGCCGUGCUGGAGUGUGGGAGAGGUGCGUGGAAUUCCUGGUGUAGCGGUGAAAUGCGUAGAUAUCGGGAGGAACACCUGUGGCGAAAGCGGCUCACUGGACCACAACUGACGCUGAGGCGCGAAAGCUAGGGGAGCAAACAGG